AUACGGAGGAUGCAAGCGUUAUCCGGAUUUAUUGGGUUUAAAGGGUGCGUAGGCGGAUGAUUAAGCGUGAGGUGAAAUGCCACUGCUCAACAGUGGAACUGCCUCGCGAACUGGUUGUCUUGAAUGCUCCUGCCGUGGGAGGAAUGUGUGGUGUAGCGGUGAAAUGCAUAGAGAUCACACAGAACACCGAUUGCGAAGGCAUCUCACGAAGGGGUGAUUGACGCUGAGGCACGAAAGCGUGGGGAUCAAACAGGAUUAGAUACCCUGGUAGUCCACGCAGUAAACGAUGAUAACUAACCGCUGGGUCGUAGUGAUUCAGUGGCCAAGCGAAAGCGAUAAGUUAUCCACCUGGGGAGUACGACCGCAAGGUUGAAACUCAAAUGAAUUGGCGGGU
rnacentral:rRNA from 1 species